rnacentral:rRNA from 1 species
GACGAACGCUGGCGGCGUGCUUAACACAUGCAAGUCGAACGGAAAGGCCCUGCUUUUGUGGGGUGCUCGAGUGGCGAACGGGUGAGUAACACGUGAGUAACCUGCCCUUGACUUUGGGAUAACUUCAGGGAACUGGGGCUAAUACCGGAUAGGAGCUCCUGCUGCAUGGUGGGGGUUGGAAAGUUUCGGCGGUGGGGGUUGGACUAGCGGCUUAUCAGCUUGUUGGUGGAGUUGUGGCUUACCAAGGCUUUGACGGGUAGCCGGCCUGAGAGGGUGACCGGCCACAUUGGGACUGAGGUACGGCCCAGACUGCUACUGGAGGCAGCAGUGGAGAAUAUUGCACAGUGGGCGGAAGACUGAUACAGCAACGCCGCGUGCGGGAUGACGGCCUUCGGGUUGUAAACCGCUUUCGCCUGUGACGAGGCGUGAGUGACGGUAAUGGGUAAAAAAGCACCGGCUAACUACGUG